rnacentral:rRNA from 1 species
UACGGAGGAUGCGAGCGUUACCCGGAUUUAUUGGGUUUAAAGGGUGCGUAGGCGGACUGGAAAGUCAGCGGUAAAAUCGAGAGGCUCAACCUCUUUCCGCCGUUGAAACUGUCGGUCUUGAGUGGGCGAGAAGUAUGCGGAAUGCGUGGUGUAGCGGUGAAAUGCAUAGAUAUCACGCAGAACUCCGAUUGCGAAGGCAGCAUACCGGCGCCCGACUGACGCUGAGGCACGAAAGCGUGGGUAUCGAACAGG